rnacentral:lncRNA from 1 species
GAGAAGUGUGGAGUGGGAUUACAGCAGUAAAUCCAUAGUCAGCUCUGGGAUUGCAGCCUAAGCCCCUCAGACACCAUUCCCACCUUUUCAUCCUGCCCUGUACAUUUGCUAUUUAUACUUCUUUUCAGACAAUGUGGGCAAAACUACAUGCAAUAUACAAGAUAUGAUAUUAUAGCAAGUGUCCUGCUUCUUUCUUACUUCUGUUUUUUUCUUACUAUUUUCAAACAUUGCAUGGGUCACUUCUUGACCUGCUCUCUCCACAGAGCCAUGAACAAGAGGUCUGAGAUCUCUUUCCUGAGUGCAGAUUUACCAGUGAAUGCAAAGGUGAAUGAGAUUUCCUUUCAUUAGAGGCUAAAAUGGUGGCUGAAAAUGUCUUUGGGCACUACCAAAACCAAGUUGCUUACCUGGACAGUGGCACUCCCUCUGCAACAAGCGAGACAGCGAGCAAACUCCUGGGCAGAGCUGGCACUGCCAUCCACAGGAAUUGAACUCAGACUCCAAGACAAGAACCUUUCAUGGUACCAGUGCAAUCCCUGCUGCUUGGGAAACCCAUUUGGUAGAUCCAUCUGGACCUUCUCCUAAUGUGCCACUGCCACAGAUGAGCUGGGGCUUUUUGCACAGCCUGCACUUUCCUUUUUAAAAACAGAGUUUUGGACACAUCAGAUUCAUUUAAUGCCUGGCUGUAAAGUGAGUCAAAACAAAUUAAAAUUGUAAAGUAUUUGUGAUGAUGAGAAGUGAAAGUUUGGAGGUAACAAAAAUAGGAUGCAAGCCUUCUAAGAACAUUUCCAGGCAAUUGGUGUAAUGCUGGAUAGUCGUGCAGCUCCACUGAAAGAUGUUACUGAUGCAUAUGUGAAACUUUAUUCCAAGACACACACUGAUGUAAAUGCAACAGGUGAUGAAAAAGAAUGUCAGAAGGAUGAGAAACUGCAACUAAAAACAAUUAGAAGCCAUGCUUGAAUUCAGGCUAUUUUCAGGGAUAAAUACAAAAAACUACUUUCUCCUCUUCAAAAUAUAAGUCCUUCAUGGAGCCACACAAACAUGUGCCUUUGUUUAGAUCAGGCCAAUAUUUUUGUUAGAAUGUGAAAUUUCAUCCAGAGGUAUUUAAUAAUGUAAAUGGCAUAAAAUUCCUCUUCUCUGGUGUAUUCAAGUUUAACAUUUUCUAAUAAAAACAGUCACAGAAAAGGUGCCCUUAUACUG